rnacentral:lncRNA from 1 species
GGGCACUAUAUAUACAAGGUUACCUGCAUCCAGAUUUUUACUUUUCAAACCUGUUGCUGAGACCUUGGUUGAGCGGUCCCCCUUUGUCUCAAGUAGUUGUCUCUGCCACCCUUCUUAGAAAAUUUUUCAGGGGCCUUCAUCCUCGUCUUCUUGUUUUCUUUCUGCUUCCUUGAAAUUUUCUAUCUCUUUCUUCUUCUUCAUUCUUCGUCCUCGGUUCUGGCGUCA